rnacentral:rRNA from 1 species
GAUGAACGCUGGCGGCGUGCUUAACACAUGCAAGUCGAACGGAAAGGCCAGUGCUUGCACUGGUACUCGAGUGGCGAACGGGUGAGUAACACGUAGGUGAUCUGCCCUGCACUUCGGGAUAAGCUUGGGAAACUGGGUCUAAUACCGGAUAGGACCACUUCGUUGUUGUUGUGGUGGAAAGUUUUUUCGGUGUGGGAUGAGCUCGCGGCCUAUCAGCUUGUUGGUGGGGUAAUGGCCUACCAAGGCGUCGACGGGUAGCCGGCCUGAGAGGGUGUACGGCCACAUUGGGACUGAGAUACGGCCCAGACUCCUACGGGAGGCAGCAGUGGGGAAUAUUGCACAAUGGGCGGAAGCCUGAUGCAGCGACGCCGCGUGGGGGAUGACGGCCUUCGGGUUGUAAACUCCUUUCGCCAAAGACGAAUUUUUGACGGUAUUUGGAGAAGAAGCACCGGCUAACUACGUGCCAGCAGCCGCGGUAAUACGUAGGGUGCGAGCGUUGUCCGGAAUUACUGGGCGUAAAGAGCUCGUAGGUGGUUUGUCGCGUCGUUUGUGUAAGCCCAUGGCUUAACUGUGGGACUGCAGGCGAUACGGGCAUAACUUGAGUGCUGUAGGGGAGACUGGAAUUCCUGGUGUAGCGGUGAAAUGCGCAGAUAUCAGGAGGAACACCGAUGGCGAAGGCAGGUCUCUGGGCAGUUACUGACGCUGAGGAGCGAAAGCAUGGGGAGCGAACAGGAUUAGAUACCCUGGUAGUCCAUGCCGUAAACGGUGGGCGCUAGGUGUGAGCCCCUUCCACGGGGUUCGUGCCGUAGCUAACGCAUUAAGCGCCCCGCCUGGGGAGUACGGCCGCAAGGCUAAAACUCAAAGGAAUUGACGGGGGCCCGCACAAGCGGCGGAGCAUGUGGAUUAAUUCGAUGCAACGCGAAGAACCUUACCUGGGCUUGACAUACACCGGAUCGCUGCAGAGAUGUAGUUUCCCUUGUGGCUGGUGUACAGGUGGUGCAUGGUUGUCGUCAGCUCGUGUCGUGAGAUGUUGGGUUAAGUCCCGCAACGAGCGCAACCCUUGUCUUAUGUUGCCAGCAUUUGGUUGGGGACUCAUGAGAGACUGCCGGGGUUAACUCGGAGGAAGGUGGGGAUGACGUCAAAUCAUCAUGCCCCUUAUGUCCAGGGCUUCGCACAUGCUACAAUGGUCGGUACAACGCGCAGCGAGCCUGUGAGGGUGAGCGAAUCGCUGAAAGCCGGUCGUAGUUCGGAUUGGGGUCUGCAACUCGACCCCAUGAAGUCGGAGUCGCUAGUAAUCGCAGAUCAGCAACGCUGCGGUGGAUACGUUCCCGGGCCU